rnacentral:lncRNA from 1 species
UCCCAAACCCCUCACCCAUCUGGCAUUGUCCUCUCCUUCUAAAUCCUCCUCCCAUCCAUCAUUCUCUCUCCUUCUCUCCUAACCCCACCAUUGGCGACUCUUCCCUAGACAUGACAUCCGCCACCCCUCCAUCAUCGGUCUUCUUGAGACUUCCCCAAGCCCCACCCCAUCAUCGUCACACCUUCUUAUGACUUUCGCCACUACCUCACCAUCAUCGUGCCUUCUUCUCAUGACUUCCUCUGCCACCCCACUGUCAUCAGGUCUUUUCUCGAGUCUCCGCCGUCACCCAACCACCAC